rnacentral:snRNA from 1 species
GACAGUUACAGCUCUUUUACAAUUUGUCUUGCAGGCUUUCUGGUUUGUUUUUUUUUUUAAUCAGAAAGCCUCC